GAAACCAGCAGAGACGCGCGGCGAAAGGAAAAAAAAAGAAAACAAAAAAGAAAAACACGCGAAAUGGCGGAGCAGUCUCACGCCGGCGACGGCGGCGGCGGCGGCGCGGGCUCCGGGGAGCCGACGAACUGGAGGAAGGAGGCGGACGAUAGGCUGCGGCGGCUCCACUCCCUCCAGUUCGGCGCGGACGUCGCGCUGAAGGGCAAGGACCCCGCGGGGGCGCAGGUGCUCGCGCUCCGCCUCCUCGGCUUCCUCGACUCGCAGGCCCUCCCCGGCGACGGCGGCGCGGCGGGCCACGAGGCCAGCUUCGUCGCGCCCAUCCGCGCCGCGGCGUCAUCCAGCGUCGCCGCCGCCAUCCGCGCCCGCGCCGGGAGGUCAGACAGUGCUGUGUUUAAGCUUGCAGAAAAGGAUGUUGGUUGUGUUUUUGCAAAGACAGGAGAAGUUAAUAUUGAAAAGAUCAAGUGUUCAAAGUAUUUUCAAGCACUUCUUCAGAAAUCCAAAGGACAUGCUGCUGAACAAAUGAAGACCACUGAUUGCCAAGAGUCCACCAUUGAAGAAGGUCCGCAUGUAGAGGAAAACUCAACUGAUAUGGAAAAUGAGAAGCUUAGCAUCAGGGCUUCAAAAUUAGUAAUGCAAAGAAAACUAACAUCACUGCGUAGCCAUAAGCCCCUGAAGGCAAAUGUUGUACAAGAUGGGAAUAUGUUCAAAUCAGUGAGUAACAUAUCUAAUGAGAGUGUUGCUGUCGAAAAUGGAGUCAGAACAAAUCAUACUGAUAACAAGUAUACUGCUUAUAUGGAUCUUGAAGAUGAUGACAGACCCCGUGGACUGUUGCAGAAUGCAAAGCGAAAGCAUGCAGGAUUCAGAAGCCCAAUCUGCGAACAUGCAAAUUCUCCAUUAAGUAAUGAUGAAGCCGAUGCCCCUGCCAAUGAGUUUGUGACUGCCAGGACAAAGUUGGAGAUGGAUUCUGUGCAAAAGUAUGGGCAUAAUGGUACUCAAGGUGCUUCUGUAUCCCCACAAUGUGAUAACAACCCAAAUAACCGGAAUUAUGGUGUAAGGCCAACCUGGAAUUCUCGUCGUGGAUUACGUGGUAAUUUUGUUCCUCCUAUCAGAAAUAAUGGAGGAUCCACUUCCAAUAUGACCUCACGGGUCAUUGGAAAAAAUGAUGAUUCAAUGGGAGAUUCAACAAGAAAAUGUUUAGAAAUGCUUUGUGGACCUGAUGGUGAGCUUCCUGAGAAGCUGAGAAAUCUGGAACCUCGCCUAAUUGAGCAUGUCAGUAAUGAAAUAAUGGAUAAAGAUCCUAAUGUCCGCUGGGAUGACAUAGCUGGUUUGGAACAUGCAAAGAAGUGCGUGACGGAAAUGGUGAUAUGGCCACUGCUACGUCCAGACAUCUUUCACGGUUGUCGGUCUCCUGGAAGAGGUCUUCUAUUGUUUGGACCUCCUGGAACAGGCAAAACCAUGAUUGGAAAAGCAAUAGCUGGUGAAGCCAAGGCAACAUUUUUCUACAUUUCUGCAAGUUCACUGACAAGCAAAUGGAUUGGCGAGGGUGAAAAGCUAGUUCGAGCACUAUUUGGGGUGGCCUGUUGUCGUCAGCCAGCUGUCAUAUUUGUGGAUGAGAUUGAUUCACUACUAUCACAGCGCAAAUCAGAUGGUGAACAUGAGUCAAGUAGGAGGUUGAAAACACAGUUUCUAAUCGAGAUGGAAGGUUUUGACAGUGGAAAUGAUCAAAUUUUACUUAUAGGAGCAACAAACAGACCUCAAGAACUGGAUGAAGCAGCACGGAGGCGACUUACAAAACGUCUAUAUAUUCCCCUUCCUUCAUCAGAGGCACGGGCCUGGAUAAUUCGCAAUCUAUUGGAGAAGGAUGGCCUUUUCAAGCUCACAGAGGAAGAAACAAAUAUUGUUUGCAAGUUAACAGAAGGUACUCAUAAUCAUCCAGGUUUCUUCUUGUUGCUGCUAAUUCUGAGAUGCCUCAAUGGGACCACUAAGGGAAGCUCUUCAACAGGGUGUUGGCAUAACAAAGCUAAACAAGGAGGACAUGCGGCCGGUGAUGCUCAAGGAUUUUGAGACUGCUUUGCAGGAGGUUAGACCUUCUGUUUCCUCAAGUGAACUGGGAACUUAUGAAGAAUGGAACAGGCAAUUUGGGAGCUUAGCAAAUUAAUUUGCAGGGAGAUGUUGAAACCUUGAAGGCGCUAGUAUGCUUUCCCAUGCAAAGCAUGCGAAACAUAUGCUUGCGAGAGUCGACAGAGGACAAUGAAGCAUACCUUGUGCAGCCAUAUACCUUCAGACUACUUGUGAUCACUGAUGCAGGUGUUCCUUGUCUCUCAGCUGAAAGACUUCCAAAGGCGCUGCAAAUCUGAUGGUUUGGAUGCGUGUUAUUUUUGCUCAAUGUCAAGUAUGCUGGCAGUUGGUGAUGCUGUAUGAGUUGGUCUUGUGGUGCUUCAAAAGAAGCUACUUCGAGGAGUCGCAGGAAUUUUCAUUCUUUGCAAAGCAAGCUACCAAUGUUCAGUAAAGCGGUGUUUAUCUGUAUGCAUUCAGCUAUUUUGUUACUAUGGUGCUGAAUGCAUAAUGCAUAUCCUAAAUUCCUAAUUAUGAUGUUAUGUUUUUUUUUUUUGCUUUCUUGUGGUUUGUUUAAUUCUGUCACAGAUUCGAUGAAACUGCCCUAUGCUAAUUUUGCCAAAGUCAAAGCGGUUACUCCCUCCGUUGGAAAAUACCAA